ACUAGUCUAUUACUAUUAUUUCAUCGUCGAUCCGUCGUCCCAUGCCCUCCUCAGAGACAGACCCCGCCACAGAAGCCGCUAAAAUGGUGUUUUCGAGAUGUUUUAAGAGGGGCAGGUAGACACUUGAUGACAAUCAACGCAAAGGCACAAGGUCACUGUCAAGAUAAAGAAGAAAUGGCAUGUGUACUCCACCAAUUGUGAGAAGGGGCUCUUGAUUAUCCUUUGAAAAAGUGGUAGAUCAAGUUGAUCCAGUGUAACAGUAGCAGCAAAUCUAUGAGAUUUCAUAUGGGAUCCCUUCAAGUACAAGGUUUACGCUGGUUCACACACGCACUGAGAGGGACCUGGCAGAGGCUAUAGCAUGGCCCUUGGUAUGAUCAGCCUAAGGUUAAGGUUGAUUCAAAGAGACUUUAAAUGGAGAUUUUUCAAUGAAUAGAUUUUGAAUGUUUAAUUCCAGAUAUUUAAUUGUCUCGAGUAAAAAAAUAUGUGUUCACUAGUGUUGAUUUGAAAAAAGCUCCUGCUGUGGCAAUCGAAAAGAGCGCUAUAUUUUGAUUUCUUACAAAGAAGUUUCAGAACCUAUGACUAAAAAA